rnacentral:rRNA from 1 species
AUACACGAAAGUGUGACGGGGGGACCCCAAGUGCAUUCACGCAAGUGAAUGCUUUUGUGGAGUGUAAAUAGCUUCACGAAUAAGAGCUGGGUAAGACCGGUGCCAGCCGCCGCGGUAACACCGGCAGCUCGAGUGGUGAUCAUUAUUAUUGGGCCUAAAGCGUCCGUAGCCGGUUUGAUAAGGCCUUGGGUAAAUCCUACCGCUUAACGGUAGGAAUUCUGAGGAUACUACCAGACUUGAGGCCGAGAGAGGUCGGAGGUACUCCUGGGGUAGCGGUGAAAUGCUAUAAUCCUAGGGGGACCACCAGUGGCGAAAGCGUCCGACCAGAGCGGGCCUGACGGUAAGGGACGAAAGCCAGGGGCGCGAACGGGAUUAGAUACCCCGGUAGUCCUGGCCGUAAACGCUGUGGGCUAGGUGUUGCAUGCUCUACGAGGGCGUGCAGUGCCGAAGAGAAGUUGAUAAGCCUACCGCCUGGGAAGUACUAUCGCAAGAUAG